rnacentral:tRNA from 1 species
GGGCGCAUAGCUCAGCGGUAGAGCACCUGCCUUACAAGCAGGUGGUCGCAGGUUCGAUCCCUGCUGCGCCCA